CAGAGGUGGCAAGCGUUGUUCGGAAUUACUGGGCGUAAAGGGCGAGUAGGUGGCCAUCUAAGUCAGACGUGAAAUCCCCCGGCUUAACCUGGGAACUGCGUCUGAUACUGGACGGCUUGAGUAUGGGAGAGGGAUGUAGAAUUCCAGGUGUAGCGGUGAAAUGCGUAGAUAUCUGGAGGAAUACCGGUGGCGAAGGCGGCAUCCUGGACCAUUACUGACACUGAACCGCGAAAGCUAGGGGAGCAAACGGGAUUAGAUACCCCGGUAGUCCUAGCCCUAAACGAUGAAUACUUGGUGUGGCGGGUAUCGAUCCCUGCCGUGCCGAAGCUAACGCAUUAAGUAUUCCGCCUGGGGAGUACGGUCGCAAGGCUG
rnacentral:rRNA from 1 species